rnacentral:lncRNA from 1 species
UUGAUUUAUGGUAACCGUGCGGCAUACAUCAGCUCUCCUCUCCCCUCUGCCGAGCCAUACUCCGGCAACGGAUGCUGGCUCCAGCGAAACCACAGACUCUGGCUGACUUCGUCGACGUACUGAUUUCUUCAGGAUGCCUUCAGCGAAACAUUGCAGUUCCAUCUCUGCACGUCCCGACGCUUCCCAUGCCAAACCAGCUGUGACCAAGAUGACAAGUACAACAACAAGAAGACAGCUAAAGAAGAUACUCGCUCUCUGUUUUAUAUUAUAAGAUGUUAACUCU